AUUAACAUUUAUCUUCUGUGCUUUGUUUUUAGGGCAUUAGUGAAUCAGGGGAGGGUUUGUUCUCUUUCCUUCUUAUGUAUCAGAUUGUCAGGUUGUGUUGUCUGCAGAAGCAGCCUCGUGUUCACUGGAUUGCUUAUCACAGUGAGGGUGGAGGCCAUUGUGGUGGAGUGGGGGCCAUCAGAUGGACCUUGACCGUAAAUUCCUGA
rnacentral:lncRNA from 1 species